rfam:Branchiostoma floridae genomic scaffold BRAFLscaffold_40, whole genome shotgun sequence.
UUGGGAUACGGCGAUAUGUACCCUACCACUGGACUGGGCAAGUUCAUCGGUUCACUCUUAGCGCUAGCCGGCAUCCUCACCAUCUCCCUCCCCGUGCCCAUCAUCGUGACCAGG